rnacentral:rRNA from 1 species
GGGNNGCANCNGGCGCGAAAACUUUACAAUGCGGGAAACCGUGAUAAGGGAACUCCGAGUGCCCGUUAAAUCGGGCUGUCCAUCUGUGUAAAUAACAGGUGAAGAAAGGGCCGGGCAAGACCGGUGCCAGCCGCCGCGGUAAUACCGGCGGCUCGAGUGGUGGCCACUAUUACUGGGCUUAAAGCGUUCGUAGCUGGUUUGUUAAGUCUYUGGGGAAAUCUUCCGGCUUAACCGGAAGGCGUCUCAGGGAUACUGGCAGACUAGGGACCGGAAGAGGUGAGGGGUACUCCAGGGGUAGGAGUGAAAUCCUGUAAUCC